rnacentral:rRNA from 1 species
GAUGAACGCUAGCGGGAGGCCUAACACAUGCAAGCCGAGCGGUAGAGAUUCUUCGGAAUCUUGAGAGCGGCGUACGGGUACGGAACACGUGUGCAACCUGCCUUUAUCAGGGGGAUAGCCUUUCGAAAGGAAGAUUAAUACCCCAUAAUAUAUUGAAUGGCAUCAUUUGAUAUUGAAAACUCCGGUGGAUAGAGAUGGGCACGCGCAAGAUUAGAUAGUUGGUGAGGUAACGGCUCACCAAGUCUACGAUCUUUAGGGGGCCUGAGAGGGUGAUCCCCCACAGUGGUACUGAGACACGGACCAGACUCCUACGGGAGGCAGAAGUGAGGAAUAUUGGACAAUGGAGGCGAGCCUGAGCCAGCCAUCCCGCGUGAAGGACGACGGCCCUAUGGGUUGUAAACUUCUUUUGUAUAGGGAUAAACCUAGAUACGUGUAUCUAGCUGAAGGUACUAUACGAAUAAGCACCGGCUAACUCCGUGCCAGCCGCCGCCGUAA